UCCAUCCUUCCAAUUGAAUAGUCAAAGAAUCAACAAUUUGCUUGACAAUAUCCAAUGUAAAAGUGAAUUGCGAUGAUUCAUCCUCCAAAACAGCAACCCCAUCAUGCUUCUCCCUUAUUUUCCGAGCUCUUGCUAAGGCACUGAUAUCAAAUGUAUCAUUACUAUGAACAUUAUAAGUUUGAAAGUGUUCGUCCUCCAAUUUCCUUGCAAGAAAAUUCUGAGAUGGGAUUUUAGAACCCUCUUGAGAAAGAGAAGGAACUAAAGAUAGAGCAUGGCAAAUAUCUUCAGAAUUUGAACUUUAAGAGACUAGAGUUUCAUUAC
rnacentral:lncRNA from 1 species